rnacentral:ncRNA from 1 species
AGCUUCACUGUUUUCUGAGAUUGACUUUGGGCUUUUCCUAUGCAGCUUAGGUGGAAGGCAAAGAAGGCCUUCUUCUGGAGUCAAAUCAGUGAGAUACCACUCUGGAAGAGCUAGAAUUCUAACAUUGUGCAGGACCUACGGGCCGGGAGCAAUAUCAGGUAUACAGUUUCUAUUUUCACCUCUCCAAAGAUAACGAAGGCGUGCAAAGAUUUUCUCGAACCAGAUGAAGAUUGGUCCUCAAGUGCAAAGAUAGAAGGAAGUUUGACUACAACACCCACUCGUUUAAAAGGUAAACUUUAAGUUUACGUCAACUUUAUAAAAUCAAGAAAAAAAAAAAGCU